rnacentral:lncRNA from 1 species
UCGGCCUCCCAAAAUGCUGGGAUUACAGGCGUGAGCCACUGCGCCCGGCCGGUUUUCCUCUUUUUACCUGGAUAACUUUUAUCUAAUAUUUUUUAUCUCAGUUUAAAGAGUAGUUAUUUAAAACAAGAUCUUCUUUGAUGAAUUAUGUAAGUUAGGUUGCUGCUGCCCUUUGCUCUGAGGGGCCUGUCCUUUCACCUCACAGCAUUUGUCACCAUUUGCCAUUGUGUAUUGUCUUAAGUAUUUAUAUAUACCCUUUUUUACUCCCUCCCCCGCUAGCAAAUAAUUCCACAAGGUCAAAGAACACAACCGUGUUGUUCACUAUUGUAUUCCAAGAAUGGGAGCAUUAGCAAAGAGCAAAGUAAGCAAAUGCAGUGUUAUAAGAUCAUCACCAUCAUCAUCACUGUCAUCAUUGCCAUCGCAUCAUCAUGCCUGGAAAGAUUUGGCACAGAUACGCCCUUCAUUUCAGGGUGGCAAAGAAAAUAUGGAACUGAAGACUGCACACUAUAGAAACUGGAAGAGCCACAAGCAAAGCCACCCAGGACACCAGGUGGAGGUCUCCACAAGCAUGCCACCUCCAGCUUGGGAAAUCAGGGAGCGAGUAUCUCUUGGGUGGUAGGAGUAGCUGGAAAACAAACCUCUCAUUGGAAGGUCCCUAAAGAAGCCACCAGCAGCACCUUGGUGGUGGCCCUCCUUCUGCCUUGCUGAACUGACCAUGAUGCCUCAGCCCAGAUGGCCUUUGAUGAGACAGCUAGAGCCUUGGGGUUGACUCCUGUGAGUUUAGCAAGAUUCUGUCUUCUCCAGCCUCUGCCAGCUUUGGGUAUACACGUCAAAUUCAAUUUUCAUAAGCACUUAUGGAGGCUUCCUUGGGUAUUUCCCCAGCUUGGUGCUUGGGACACAGAAAGAUUAGGCCUGGGCACUGGUUUCAACCUCUUGUGCAAGAUAUGAACACAGAUAAAUAUAAUACAGGCAGUGUCAUGUAGACACCAUGGGAAGGGUAUAAACAAAGAUGUGUCUUCCAUGUGCCUGGCACAGGGUCUGGAACACAGUGUACUCUCAAUAAAACUGUAAUAAAGAAUGAAUAAGUGACAUGGUGAGUGCAUGGAUGAAAUGGAGUGAGCAAGCAAAUCCAUUGAACACUGUGAUUCACCACGAGAGUAGCAGAUGCUUCAAGAAUGAAGAGGUGAGCAGUCCCAGCAGUCCUUACACUAUGUUCAGUGUUACAGCAGGGUUGGAUUGAAGCGCUGUGUGCUGUGGAUUCAGUGUACUUGGACAGAGGCAUCAGCUUGCAGGAAAGCUCACAAUGCCCAAUACGUUAGCCCUGAAGAAGUGGCCCUAUGCUUUCUUUGACAUGCCUGUAAAAACAAAAACCACAUGUGUAAGAAAAUGUGUUUAUAGUGCAGUAGGUGAUGGGGGAGAAUACAAGCCAUAUCUCAUGAUGAAGAACUACACAUAAUCUAUGCCCAAUUUAUUCAGUGAUGUUUAGAUGUUUAUGACUAUACAUACUUCAGAACUAUUGAAACACAUUUAUUGUAAAAUAUUAUAAAUUUGAAACUGUAGUCCAGCACUUACAGACUCAAAUGCCUACAGGGAUUAGCAAGUAUUUCAAAUGAAAGGCAUGACUAGGGCAAGACAAUAGGAAGUAGUGAGGCUUGCAGGAAACUGGUGGCAAACUCUAGUUUCUCUAAAGAGAGCAACUACUGCUUCUGCUAGCUGACGCUGAGUAGGGAUGAUAAUUUAUCAGAUCUUAUUUUUCACAAGAGGGAGAAUCUGGAUUUUUUCUGUUAACUUUCUCCAUUUCUAUCAUACCUUGUCAACCCAACAAAACACAUCCAUAGGCCAAAUUUUGCCCGUGGGCUGCCUGUUGGCCACCUUUACCUUACUUAUUGCCCUUUCUACUCUGGCACCGCACCUGAGAAGGCGAGAAUUGGGGAAAUUUGAUGGUGGUUUGGGUAAUGAGAAUGGGGAUGACGCGCCUUAAAAAAAAA